GGCCAAAAUUCAUUUUGUGACAUUUUUUCUUUCUGCCAUGUCAGCUGUCAUGUGGCAAGGUUUACGAUUUUGUGACAAUAAACUAAUAUCAUAUGCUUGUGACAUGAACAAAACAAAUGUCACAUAAUCUGUACCUAUUUAUAAAAGGAGAAAAUUUCAGUCUGCCUACCUCCUAUCCGUCAUGUCCGCUUGUUUGAAUCAAUCGGCGCUGGUAGCUGUAGGAGGAAAAAAAGAAUAGAAGUUUUUCUAGAGUUUCUAAUACAAAAUCUUCUAUACACAUUAAAGUAUAUUAAAAAUAAAAAAAGUACAAGGUCCUAAAUACAAAUUUGUCAGCACCGACCGCAUCAAUCGGCCC
rnacentral:lncRNA from 1 species